ACUAUCCUGUAACUGUCCUCCAUGGAAUUUACAUCUGGUAGAUUGUUGAAUAUAUUUUGCAUGACCUUGCCAUAACACCAUAAGGCAUAAGUCCAUAACACGAGAUAGCGGAUGAGUGAUGAUAUGAGAUUAUGAGCGGCGUCCGUGAUAACGGCGUCCCGAGAGGAAAAAGUGUGGCGCAAAAUACAAUAAACAUGAAAACUUGUGUGAUAACUUUUGGUGCGAGAGAAAAUUGUAAUACAAAAAUUCCAAAACAUCUAAACAACACAUCGAUAUUUUCUUCGAUGUAUCCGUAACUAGACAUCGAUGUAUCGACCAUA